AAAGCCGGAUUAAUACCGCAUACGAUCUACGGAUGAAAGCGGGGGAUCGCAAGACCUCGCGCUAUAGGGGCGGCCGAUGGCGGAUUAGCUAGUUGGUGGGGUAAAGGCCCACCAAGGCGACGAUCCGUAGCUGGUCUGAGAGGACGACCAGCCACACUGGGACUGAGACACGGCCUUUACUCCUACGGGAGGCAGCAGUGGGGAAUUUUGGACAAUGGGCGCAAGCCUGAUCCAGCAAUGCCGCGUGUGUGAAGAAGGCCUUCGGGUUGUAAAGCACUUUUGUCCGGAAAGAAAUCCUCUGGGUUAAUACCCCGGGGGGAUGACGGUACCGGAAGAAUAAGCACCGGCUAACUACGUGCCAGCAGCCGCGGUAAUACGUAGGGUGCGAGCGUUAAUCGGAAUUACUGGGCGUAAAGCGUGCGCAGGCGGUGAUGU
rnacentral:rRNA from 1 species